rnacentral:pre_miRNA from 1 species
ACGAUCUUGCUAGAAGAUAUGUUUGUAUUCUAUUGGUUGUAAUAUGUAUCAACCGGAAGUCAAACAUAUUAUUAUAGCGAGAUUUU